CGGAGGAUCCAAGCGUUAUCCGGAAUCAUUGGUUUAAAGGGUCCGUAGGCGGGUUUAUAAGUCAGUGGUGAAAGCCCAUCGCUCAACGAUGGAACGGCCAUUGAUACUGUAGAUCUUGAAUUAUUAGGAAGUAACUAGAAUAUGUAGUGUAGCGGUGAAAUGCUUAGAGAUUACAUGGAAUACCAAUUGCGAAGGCAGGUUACUACUAAUGGAUUGACGCUGAUGGACGAAAGCGUGGGUAGCGAACAGGAUUAGAUACCCUGGUAGUCCACGCCGUAAACGAUGGAUACUAGCUGUUCGGAGCAAUCUGAGUGGCUAAGCGAAAGUGAUAAGUAUCCCACCUGGGGAGUACGUUCGCAAGAAUG
rnacentral:rRNA from 1 species